rnacentral:sRNA from 1 species
ACUUGGCGACUUGCAUGCCUGCCCGAUUCCGGGCCACGGCAUCACGCCCAUUGUGACGGCUUCAAGCGAUGU